rnacentral:rRNA from 1 species
GACGAACGCUGGCGGCGUGCUUAACACAUGCAAGUCGAACGGUGAAAGCGGAGCUUGCUCCGCUGGAUCAGUGGCGAACGGGUGAGUAACACGUGGGCAACCUGCCCCUCACUUCGGGAUAACUCCGGGAAACCGGGGCUAAUACCGGAUAUGACCUCCUUGGGCAUCCUUGGAGGUGGAAAGUUUUUCGGUGAGGGAUGGGCCCGCGGCCUAUCAGCUUGUAGGUGAGGUAGUGGCUCACCAAGGCGACGACGGGUAGCCGGCCCGAGAGGGCGAGCGGCCACACUGGGGCUGAGGCAGGGCCCAGACUCCUACGGGAGGCAGCAGUGGGGAAUAUUGCGCAAUGGGCGAAAGCCUGACGAAGCAACGCCGCGUGCGGGAUGACGGCCUUCGGGUUGUAAACCGCUUUCAGCAGGGAAGAAGCCGCAAGGUGACGGUACCUGCAGAAGAAGCACCGGCUAACUACGUGCCAGCAGCCGCCGUAA